rnacentral:rRNA from 1 species
UACGGGGGGAGCAAGCGUUGUUCGGAUUUACUGGGCGUAAAGGGCGCGUAGGCGGUCGUGACAAGUCACUUGUGAAAUCUCCGGGCUUAACUCGGAACGGUCAAGUGAUACUGUCGGACUAGAGUACAGAAGGGGCAACUGGAAUUCUCGGUGUAGCGGUGAAAUGCGUAGAUAUCGAGAGGAACACCUGCGGCGAAGGCGGGUUGCUGGGCUGAUACUGACGCUGAAGCGCGAAAAGCGUAGGGGAGCGAACGGG